rnacentral:rRNA from 1 species
AUGUCGGCUUCCCAACCCAACAAACCAACAAUGAAGGAGGAUGGCGAAGAUGAGAUGGCGGGAUGGUGGGAGAAGGCUGCGAAGAAGCUUAGAGAGGAGGAUGCAGCCAAGCUAAAGAAGAAGAAGGAAGAGGAGCUUGAGGAGAAGAGGAAGGAAAAAGUGAGAGCAUCAAAUGCGAUGCGCGCUAGGGAGAAAGCGUUGGUGAGGAAAUGUGAGGAGGCACAGAAGAAGCGUCAAAAGGAUUUUGAAGAAGGAACCAUGAAGCUUUGGGCAAUUGCAGCUGAAAAAAAAGAGAGGGAGGAUCAGAUAUUCAUGGAGAGGGUGGUUAAGGAGGCCCACCUCAUAAGGAAAAGGGAGGAGGAAGAGGAAGAAGAGAGGAAGAAGAAGAAGGGAAAGGGGCCUUGCUCUACGCAAUAG